rnacentral:rRNA from 1 species
GGCGGGCGGGUGCUAUACAUGCAGUCGAACGAACUCUGGUAUUGAUUGGUGCUUGCAUCAUGAUUUACAUUUGAGUGAGUGGCGAACUGGUGAGUAACACGUGGGAAACCUGCCCAGAAGUGGGGGAUAACACCUGGAAACAGAUGCUAAUACCGCAUAACAACUCGGACCGCAUGGUCUGAGUUUGAAAGAUGGCUUCGGCUAUCACUUUUGGAUGGUCCCGCGGCGUAUUAGCUAGAUGGUGAGGUAACGGCUCACCAUGGCAAUGAUACGUAGCCGACCUGAGAGGGUAAUCGGCCACAUUGGGACUGAGACACGGCCCAAACUCCUACGGGAGGCAGCAGUAGGGAAUCUUCCACAAUGGACGAAAGUCUGAUGGAGCAACGCCGCGUGAGUGAAGAAGGGUUUCGGCUCGUAAAACUCUGUUGUUAAAGAAGAACAUAUCUGAGAGUAACUGUUCCCGCCUGGGGAGUACGGCCGCAAGGCUGAAACUCAAAGGAAUUGACGGGGGCCCGCAGGUAUUGACGGUAUUUAACCAGAAAGCCACGGCUAACUACGUGCCAGCAGCCGCGGUAAUACGUAGGUGGCAAGCGUUGUCCGGAUUUAUUGGGCGUAAAGCGAGCGCAGGCGGUUUUUUAAGUCUGAUGUGAAAGCCUUCGGCUUAACCGAAGAAGUGCAUCGGAAACUGGGAAACUUGAGUGCAGAAGAGGACAGUGGAACUCCAUGUGUAGCGGUGAAAUGCGUAGAUAUAUGGAAGAACACCAGUGGCGAAGGCGGCUGUCUGGUCUGUAACUGACGCUGAGGCUCGAAAGUAUGGGUAGCAAACAGGAUUAGAUACCCUGGUAGUCCAUACCGUAAACGAUGAAUGCUAAGUGUUGGAGGGUUUCCGCCCUUCAGUGCUGCAGCUAACGCAUUAAGCAUUACAAGCGGUGGAGCAUGUGGUUUAAUUCGAAGCUACGCGAAGAACCUUACCAGGUCUUGACAUACUACGCUAACCUGAGAGAUCAGGCGUUCCCUUCGGGGACGUGGAUACAGGUGGUGCAUGGUUGUCGUCAGCUCGUGUCGUGAGAUGUUGGGUUAAGUCCCGCAACGAGCGCAACCCUUAUUAUCAGUUGCCAGCAUUAAGUUGGGCACUCUGGUGAGACUGCCGGUGACAAACCGGAGGAAGGUGGGGAUGACGUCAAAUCAUCAUGCCCCUUAUGACCUGGGCUACACACGUGCUACAAUGGAUGGUACAACGAGUUGCGAACUCGCGAGAGCAAGCUAAUCUCUUAAAGCCAUUCUCAGUUCGGAUUGUAGGCUGCAACUCGCCUACAUGAAGUCGGAAUCGCUAGUAAUCGCGGAUCAGCAUGCCGCGGUGAAUACGUUCCCGGGCCUUGUACACACCGCCCGUCACACCAUGAGAGUUUGUAACACCCAAAGUCGGUGGGGUAACCUUCGGGACCAGCCGCUAAGUAACAAG